UACGUAGGUGGCAAGCGUUGUCCGGAUUUACUGGGCGUAAAGAGCGCGCAGGCGGUCGUGCAAGUCGCGUGUGAAAGCCCCCGGCUCAACUGGGGAGGGUCACGCGAUACUGCUCGACUUGAGUGCCGGAGAGGAAAGCGGAAUUCCUGGUGUAGAGGUGAAAUUCGUAGAUAUCAGGAGGAACACCAGUGGCGAAGGCGGCUUUCUGGACGGUAACUGACGCUGAGACGCGAAAGCGUGGGGAGCAAACAGG
rnacentral:rRNA from 1 species